GAUGAACGCUGGCGGCGUGCCUAAUACAUGCAAGUCGAGCGCUGCGGGGACGGGGGAGUACCGCGUAGUAACCCUCCUAUAACAAUGGGUUAACUUCGGGAAACCGGAGCUAAAGCUGCUACUUAUAGAUGGAUGCGCGCUGCAUUAGCUAGUUGGUAAGGUAACGGCUGACCAAGGCAACGAUGCAUAGCCGACCUGAGAGGGUGAUCGGCCACACUGGAACUGAGACACGGUCCAGACUCCUACGGGAGGCAGCAGUAGGGAAUCGUCCGCAAUGGGCGAAAGCCUGACGGAGCAACGCCGCGUGAGUGAUGAAGGUCUUCGGAUCGUAAAACUCUGUUAUGAGGGAAGCGGUACCUAAUCAGAAAGCCACGGCUAACUACGUGCCAGCAGCCGCGGUAAUAC
rnacentral:rRNA from 1 species